AGAGUUUGAUCCUGGCUCAGGAUGAACGCUAGCUACAGGCUUAACACAUGCAAGUCGAGGGGCAGCAUGUUGGUUGCUUGCAACCAACGAUGGCGACCGGCGCACGGGUGAGUAACGCGUAUCCAACCUACCCUUGUCCAUCGGAUAACCCGUCGAAAGGCGGCCUAACACGAUAUGCGGUUCACAGCAGGCAUCUAACGUGAACGAAAUGUGAAGGAGAAGGAUGGGGAUGCGUCUGAUUAGCUUGUUGGCGGGGUAACGGCCACAAGGCUACGAUCAGUAGGGGUUCUGAGAGGAAGGCCCCCCANAUUGGAACUGAGACACGGUCCAAACUCCUACGGGAGGCA
rnacentral:rRNA from 1 species